rnacentral:lncRNA from 1 species
GAUGCCAUUGCUCUCUCUACCAAUCCCCAUUACCUUCCCACUGUAAAGUGCCUAAAACACACCAAAGCUAGGGAAGAAUGCAACUGAACAUGAAAGUUCCCUAGUUAAUUUCGACACUAAGAACACAUUGAACUUGAAAUAUGGCACAUGUAGCACAUUAGUGAUCUUGUACUUUCCUAGUAUCUCUGUACUCCGUGUAUUAGCUAUG